rnacentral:lncRNA from 1 species
AUGUCUUUGUUUUUGUUCCAGAGAUGGAUCAGGGCCUCCUUACUGUCUGAAGUCUCUGCUCUGCUUUACUUUCACCAUCUGGUUCCAGAGAAGCCAAUCCAAAUCAUUUACUGCAUAUCUUGCCUUGCCGUAAUUUACAUUUGGCAUCAGGAUGCAGCUGUACUGACUCUUCCCAAGAGCUCAGUCAUAGUUGAAGAUCCUUUGAGUCUGUACUGUGCAAACCUGAAAAAAAAACACCUGAUUCCACCUCAUGGAGUGCAAGAUGCUGGAAGCACAGUAGCUUUGAAUUUCUUCAGUUCAGCUAAAGGUAGGUAAGUUCUUUAAAUAUGUAUUAGUAUCAUCAUAAAUUCAACAUACAUUAAUAUAAAAAAUGCUUGUUGGUUACUUGAGACCUCUGACCCUACCUUUGCUAACCAGUGAUACAGAACACAGAAAUCGGAGUUUGUUGGUGAAAGUAAUGCUCUUCAGAUGUUUCUUCCCAUUCAUUUUUCUGAAUUCCUCAUGUUGCACUUUGCUGAAAACCUUCUCUGUGGUCUUUGGGGUUUGAGGCAGGCAGGAUCUGUAAGCCUGUAAACCAGUGUGAUGCUCAGCUGAGAUACUCCCAUCCCUCACGAAGUCCACCUCUUCCCUGACCUCAGUCAGCAUAUGGACAGCAGCCACCCACACGUGGCACAUUAGAGGAUUAAGACCUUAAUGACAUUUUUUAAAUGCCACUAUUAAGAGGGGACUUCCAUCCUGUAGAACACUUAAAAAAUAACAUUUGUAAAAAUGCUUCCUGAGCAGCAUGUUCCCUUUAACAAUAUCUCAUCUAUUUGUAUGCUAAUAAGAAUUCUUUUCUUAGUCUUUGCUUGAACAGUUCAACACUGAAUUUAUGAUUCCAUGCUUUGUGCUGUCAAGAUUUUACUUAAAUUUAGAAAAAAUAGUAUCUCAAUAAUUAAUUCUAGAUAAAUUAUUGACAGAACAGCAGCAGAGGCAAAGCAGAUGCAAAGGAAGAGUGCUUUAUAUCUAAGAGAGGCUUUUCAAGCAGAUACAUUUGUAAUAUCAUAUUUAUACACUUUUAAUAUUCACUUUUCUGAAAUAAAUCCAUGGUUUUCUAGCA